rnacentral:rRNA from 1 species
UACAGAGGUCUCAAGCGUUGUUCGGAUUCAUUGGGCGUAAAGGGUGCGUAGGCGGCGCGGUAAGUCGGGUGUGAAAUCUCGGGGCUUAACUCCGAAACUGCAUUCGAUACUGCCGUGCUUGAGGACUGGAGAGGAGACUGGAAUUUACGGUGUAGCGGUGGAAUGCGCAGAUAUCAGGAGGAACACCAAUAGCGAAGGCAGCUCGCUGGGACGUUACUGACACUGAGGCGCGAAAGCGUGGGGAGCGAACAGG